AGGGAGGCCAUCCAUCGUCCACCCAGAGGAAGGGGGUGAAGGUCAGUUGAACCCAGUGCUCCCACAAUGCCACAGACGGAUCCUGGCACACAGCCAGGACUCAGUGACACUACUUCGGCUUCACGUGGGCUCCAGGACCAUGGAAGCUUCGGGAAUGGGACAGAAGGCGAAAGGGGUAAAAAGUGAGAGACCAGUGGAAUCACCUCAAAGCGAACCAGGAAGUCCUUCAGGUUUGGGAAUGCAUCCAGGCACUUGGGCUCGAACAUGCGGUGGCAGGUCGAGGAUGUCGUAC